CUUCCUCUUCUCUCCUCUCUCCUUCUCACCAUCUCCUCUUCCUCCAGUAGCCUCCAUCUUUGGGAUCCUGUAGACGUCCGUCCGCUCAGUCCAACUGACAGUUGUGGGUAAACAACAACAACAGUCGUUGUCCAGAAGCCUGGCAAGGUUAUACACAGCGACAGAGCAGGAUGCCGCCAGUAUCGGAGACUGCAGGAGCGCUGCCCAGGACAGGUCUCAUGUGCAGUGGGUUUCAACAGAGAUUGCAGACUGAUGUGCCACAUGUCCCUCCAUCGGCAGCCAUUUUCUGGAUGAAUCCACACACGGUUGAGAAGGAUAUGCCAACCAGUGGUGCGGCUACACAGCAAGAAUAAACCCCAAUGAACGUCUAAAUAGCGUAUAUUAGGUUUGUUUAAAAAUAAGAAAUAAUGUUUCCAUCUACUUACCAACAACAUCUUGGAGCUCCUUGUUAAAAGUGAUGUACCGGGAAGUGACAAGGCGCGGGGGACUGAACCCUAUCUCUUCAGCAAAUUGAAAAA